rnacentral:lncRNA from 1 species
AAACCUGUCACUUUUGAACCAAUCAAACACACAGUCGAGGGUACUACGUCAUAUUGCAUGUGUUUUCUUUACCAAAUAUGGGAUUAGGUAAACACAGCCAUAUGUGGUUACACUACGUGUGACAAUUUUAUGUUAUCGGGCAUAUUAUGUUUAUGGGAAUCAGAUAUGCAGCCGUCACAGCCAGCUGAUGAAUAUCCUCAGCUUAUACAGAGGUCAGGCUUGAGCUAUGUGCUGAUUCAAAAGAUGCUAAUGACAGUGGAUAAUCCAUUCUGAGCUGUUCUAGGACCAUUCACCAACGUUCCAAAACACUGAUGGAACUGAAGGCAGUACCUGUAUUGGUGUCUGGCCUGUGAUUUCAAGUAUAAUUGAUGUACCUCCUCCUGAUGUAUCUCCUUGAAUACAAUAUAUCUGCCAUGUGAAAGGAACAAGCUGCAAGAUAUACUGUGGAAGUGGGGGCCUAUGUAAAAAACAUUUUAUUUAAAGAAUAUAAGAAAUCUGACACUAAACUACUGAAAAGGUGCACAGGGGACAUUUUUGUGUGUAUAGACUUUCAUCAAGAUUCUGAGAAAGUUGAUUUAUUAAACAAAAAUAGUCAAAUUGUGUCUUCAAAGCUGAAAAGAUUAAGAUCUUAGGAAAACAUUAGGACUCAAGAAAAGUAAUGGGGUUAUGAAACUGUAGUG